GGACCAGGGGAAUCCGACUGUUUAAUUAAAACAAAGCAUCGCGAAGGCCCGAGGUGGGUGUUGACUCGAUGUGAUUUUUGCCCAGUGCUCUGAAUGUCAAAGUGAAGAAAUUCAAUGAAGCGUGGGUAAAUGGUGGGAGUAACUAUGACUCUCUUGAGGAGACCUUAGCCCAGGAUGAUAGUAAAAGGGGCAAUAAGAUACAU
rnacentral:ncRNA from 1 species